CGAAGACAGGAAGGAAAUUUUCUGUAGCCAUAAAAUCAGUUUUUAAAAAAAGUGUUUUGUAGGCACAGAAGAGGCCAAGCAGUUGGCUUUGGUUUAAGGCACAAAUAACAAAUGGAAAUGGUCAGACGUGGGGAAGGAGGGUCUGGGAAUAAACGUGAAUAUUCUUGCAGCUUUUAGCAAUAUUUUCUCUUACCUGAAGGCCAACCAGGUGUUGGUGGUGGGAUGGAGAACAUGGGAUGGCUCCCUGGCUCUAUGGGACAGAAUAGGGGAUCUAAGUAGAGACAAGUGUGGGGAUGAGCAGGGAACUGACGACUCAGGAUGUUUCUAGGCUUUGGGCCAAGACGUCCAGGGGCUGGAGCCAGGAUCAUAGUUAUGGAGACCCAAGAUGAAUAGCAAUGAACUUGACGGAUUUCAUGUCUUAGAGGGAUGAACCUGGAGCCCAGAGAAGGCAGCUCUGGCCAACUAGAGAAGGGUCUUCUUGGCAGCGACAGCGAUUUAAGACUAUCCAGAGGACAAGGAUAUCCAUGAAAGGUUUAAGUGGGAGAAUCGAACAAUCACGUUUCUAAUGUAGAAAGAGCUCUCUCAUGGCACCCGGCAUGUGGCCUGAUGGACAGCAAACCUGAAGGUAAGGAGAGCAGUGAGGAGACUGCUGCUCUGAUCCAGGUUGGAGGCUGAGCAGGUGGAGAGAAGAUUCAAGGCAAAACUGGAACCAACCCAAAUAUGCAUUGGUUAGAGAGUGGCUCCACAGGUCCUGGGCAUCCCUACCACGGAACAGGACUCGGUAACAGUAAGAAGAAAUGCACUGCCGAUACUGCAGCAACGCAGGAAUCUCAAGGUUGUGAUGCUGAGUGAAAGGAGCCAGGAGACACAGAGGAUGCACUCUGUGUCUCCAUUUCUAGAACAUUCUAGAAAGUGCCAACUGACCUAUAGUAACAAAGCAGCUCCCCGUCCUCACUCCUGCCCUCAGAGCAGAGGGAGAACCAGGGCCAGAGCCGGCCUGAAGCCGCAGCCCCGACACCUUGGAGCCUCCCGGGCUCUCCUUGACCCGGCCGAGCAGUGCACCCACCCGCCAGCCCUGAUCACUGCCGUUUCAGAGAGAAGCUUAAUGGAAAAAAUCUCACAAGAUACCACAGCCUCUGAAGCUGACCCCCACCACUCCUCCAUGCUCUGUGACCUCAACCACGUCACCGCCCCUCUCUGACCCACCUCUUCUAAAAGCUGUGUCUGCAUCACACUCACCUUCAAGGCGCUGACUGCACAAGCCCCCUGAGAAGCGGUCAUUGCAGUUAGGAAAUCCACUUUUCUGGAGGCCUGCAGAGUCUAGGUGAAGUGCCCCAAACCAGCCAGGUGGUGGCUGAUGACACAUGCAGCCAGAAUCCGGGGUUCCCACCCCAGCACUGGCAGGACAGCAUGACCUUGAGCAAGUCCCCGCACCCCUUGGAGCCUCAGUUUCCUCCUCUGUGACCUGGGGAUGAGAAAGGGACAGAGUGACCUCCAGCAAGACUGGCUCUUUUCACGGAGCAGGAGGCAGUCACCGGUAUGUUGUCCUCGGCGGUGCCCUCCAGCUGCGCCUCCAUUUGUGGCUGUAGCCCAAGGCCUCCCAUGGGACUCUAUUGGUGUCCAAGAGACAGGGGGUUACAUUUGCUACAACAGUGGCCGGGGCUGCCUCCUUCUCUCCCCUGCCCACAAACCCCAGAGGCCUGAGCCUGACCCUCCCGCUUGCCCUUGAACUGUCUUCCAGACACCUCCAGUGUGUGGGCAUGGUGAGACCCUGAAGAGGAGGAGCUGUCCAGCGUGGUCAGGGGUGUGAUGGGUGGGGCAGGGUCUGGAGAGAGGGCAGCAAAACAGGGUCUAAUCUGAAACCCAAAUCUUGAGUCAGAGUAAGCCAGGCCAGGCAGAGGCUGUGGGGGUGCUCCUGGCAAAGGACACAUAGCAUAUGCAAAGGCCCAGGGGUGAGGAAAAAAAACAGGGCUAAUUCAAACAAUUGAGAUAUGUUCCGUUUCAGAAGCAGAGAGCUACAAGCUGCGGAAAGGACCACUAAGGGGGGAGGUGGAGAAGUCAGUUUGGGUCAGGCCAUUCCUGGGGCUUGUGUUAGUUUCCGUGUUAUGCUGAGGGUCAUGGGGAGCCAUGGAAGGGUUUAGCAGAGGAGCGAUGCAUUCAGGGACCUUCCAGAAAGAUUGCUCUGGCUGCUCCGAGCAGAAGGGACUGCAGGGACAAAAGGAGAAGCAGGGGAGGGGGGCCCAGCGGGGUGGCUGCUGCAGAUGUCAGGCUAGAAAUAAUGGGGGCCUGGACUGGGGCGGCAGAGGGUGGGCAGAGGGGACUGCCGGGAAGGGUAAUUUUGCUGGGACUUCCUGGGUGGUUCAGUGGCUAAGACUCAGCUCUCAAUGCAGGGGACCUGGGUUCGAUCCCUGGUCAGGGAACUAGAUCCCAUAUGCCCAAAGACCAAGUGCAUUCAAAUAAAUUAAUGAAAAAAAAAAAAAAGGUAGCUUUGCUGGACAAGGGGAUGAGGAAGGAGGGAGGAAGAGGCUGGACAGCAGGGUGGGUACUGGGGCGUCUCUGAGUCAGGCCACGAGGGAGGAGGGAGCGGGGCAGUGUCUUCACAAGCCUGAAAGAAAGAAAGUGAAGUCGCUCAGUCGUGUCCUACUCUUUGCGACCCCAUGGACUGUGCCUACCAGGCUCCUCUGUCCAUGGGAUUUUCCAGGCCAUAGUUUUCUGGGGGCCUCAUGGGAUAGCCCUGACCCUGAAACAGCCCUCCUCAGCCAACGGGGAGCUGGAGCUGUCCUUGUGGAAAGCUGGGAUCUCUGGCAGGUAGAAGCCCUUGUGGGUAAACAGCCGGCAGUCAUGGGGGCCGGGUCCUGGGAUCCAGGGAGUGCCACCUGCAGCUGGCAGAGCAUCCAAACCCCGGCCUGGAGGGGCAGCUUCCUGGGAUGAGGCGUCAAGCAAAGCAGAGCCAGGAGGGUCUGGCUCCAACCCUGGUGGAUAUUCCCUCUGCCUCGGGGUCCCUCUUCUCUGAGACGGACCGAUGCAGAGGGACAGACUGACUGCCAGCCCCUGAGGGGCCCAGAGAGCUGAACAUGGCACGGGGCCCCCAUGGACUACGGAGAA